GCUUUAGGCCCAAUAACAGUGGCCACCACUUGGGCCGCCGGUAUUACCGCGGCUGCUGGCACCGGACUUGCCCAGCCCUUAUUCCCGGAGCUGUUUACACUCUGCAAAAGUCAUACCCGAAGGCAUGACACUUGGGGUCCCCCCGUCGCGCUUUCGCGCAUUGCGGAGGUUUCGCGCCUGCUGCGCCCCGUAGGGCCUGGACCCGUGUCUCAGUGUCCAUCUCCGGGCUCCCCCUCUCANGGCCCGUACGGAUCGUANGCUUGGUGGNCCGUUACNCCAACAACUAACNUANUCGGCCGAAGCCCCAUCCUCGGGCGGCUUACGCCUUUCGGGGAGGGAUCAUUCCAGACCUCCUCCCCUAUNGGGGAUUAGCCUCAGUUUCCCGAGGUUAUCCCCACCCGAGGGUAGGUUAGCCACGUGUUACUGAGCCGUGCGCCGGUCUCCCCGAAGGGAGCCCCUUGACUCGCAUGGCUUAGUCGGACCCCGAUAGCAGUUGCCUCCGGCGGGAUCAACCGGAA
rnacentral:rRNA from 1 species